rnacentral:rRNA from 1 species
AAAUUGAAGAGUUUGAUCAUGGCUCAGAUUGAACGCUGGCGGCAGGCCUAACACAUGCAAGUCGAACGGUAACAGGAAGCGCUUGCUGCUUCGCUGACGAGUGGCGGACGGGUGAGUAAUGUCUGGGAAACUGCCUGAUGGAGGGGGAUAACUACUGGAAACGGUAGCUAAUACCGCAUAACGUCGCAAGACCAAAGAGGGGGACCUUCGGGCCUCUUGCCAUCGGAUGUGCCCAGAUGGGAUUAGCUUGUUGGUGGGGUAACGGCUCACCAAGGCGACGAUCCCUAGCUGGUCUGAGAGGAUGACCAGCCACACUGGAACUGAGACACGGUCCAGACUCCUACGGGAGGCAGC